CAAUAGCGUAUAUUCAAGUUGUUGCAGUUAAAAAGCUCGUAGUUGGAUUUCGGAUGGGACUUGCCGGUCCGUCGUUGCGAUGUGCACUGGCCAGUCCUAUCUUGUUGUCGGGGACUAGCUCUUGGUCUUCACUGGCCGGGACUAGGAGCUGACGAGGUUACUUUGAGUAAAUUAGAGUGUUCAAAGCAAGCCUACGCUCUGAAUACAUUAGCAUGGAAUAACACGAUAGGACUCUGGCUUAUCCUGUUGGUCUGUGAGACCAGAGUAAUGAUUAAGAGGGACAGUCGGGGACAUUCGUAUUUCAUUGUCAGAGGUGAAAUUCUUGGAUUUAUGAAAGACGAACUUCUGCGAAAGCAUUUGUCAAGGAUGUUUUCAUUAA
rnacentral:rRNA from 1 species